CAUGGAGGGUGAGAAUCCCGUCCGGCUAAAUCGAGGUUGUAAUACGAUGCGCUUUCUAAGAGUCGAGUUGUUUGGGAAUGCAGCUCAAAAUGGGAGGUAAAUUUCUCCUAAGGCUAAAUAACGGCGAGAGACCGAUAGCGAACAAGUACCGUGAGGGAAAGAUGAAAAGAACUUUGAAAAGAGAGUUAAACAGUACGUGAAAUUGUUGAAAGGGAAACGAUUAAAGUCAGUCGUACGGACGGGGAAUCAGCCUUUCGAGCGUGGAUACGCGGGAUUCGGAGAGCCUUCGACCUCGCGUAUUUGAGUUCUUUUGGUGUACUUUCCCGUGACGUAGGUCAGCGUCGGUUUCGAUCGUUAUAAAAUGAUCGGGGGAAUGUGGCUUCGACCUCGGUUGAAGUGUUAUAGCCCCUGUUAGAUGUGACGGUUGGGACCGAGGAUUGCAACGGAUGCUCAAACGGGCUACCCGUCUGGCCUCUGAUACGUUACUUCGGCAUCGAAAGCGUGCUUACGAUGUUGAAGUGAGCGGUCAAAAGGUUAGAACGGGUUAAAUUCGUUAAGGAUGUUGACGUAAUG
rnacentral:rRNA from 1 species